CGGGGUGGGUAAUGUAUGGGGAUCUGCCUGAUGGCGGGGGAUAACUACUGGAAACGGUAGCUAAUACCGCAUAAUGUCUGCGGACCAAAGCGGGGGACCUCCGGGCCUCGCGCCAUCAGAUGAACCCAUAUGGGAUUAGCUAGUAGGUGAGGUAACGGCUUACCUAGGCGACGAUCCCUAGCUGGUCUGAGAGGAUGAUCAGCCACACUGGGACUGAGACACGGCCCAG
rnacentral:rRNA from 1 species